UGCUCCGCUCCGGGUUUUCCUGGAGACCCGGAGCCAGAGAGGGUCGAAACCUGCGGGCCGGGCGCUCCCUGUCCCCCUACUCAGGCUGGGACUCGAGGAGCGUCCGGCCCUCCGAGGAAGCCUGACUCUAAUGGAGCUUGGGGUAAAGAUGAAGCAGAGGAGAGGCGGCCUGAGGGGAGCAGAACAACUUUGAUUUUUACUUAACUCGCUCUCGUCUCGCUCCCCUUCCCCAAAACAACUUUCUCUUCCGGGGUCAGGCAGGACCGCCCCCGACGCGUACCUUGCGCGCCGUGGGCGCCCGGAGCUACGAGAUUCGGUGUGAUUUUUGAGGUUCCCCGGCUGCCAGCAGCCCCAGAAAUGAGCGGGCUGCCCUCAGCCCCGCACCGCGCCGGGGCCCCGACCGUGCCCUCUGGUCCGCGGGCACCGCCUGCAGGCUGUGUGACCUGGGCGCACACCUUCUGGAUGUUUGUUUAUUGUUUAUACACUAAUAGGAGGUCCCUCUCCCCAUACCGUCAAAAGUAGAGGAGUCAGAAUCUGUAAGAUUCUCAUGGGCAUGGUUGCACCCCAUCAGGAGUCCAAACGCAAAAACGAGGUAGCAAAGCCAUUCUGACCGGUGUGAGGUGGUAUCUCCUUGUAGUUUUGAUUUGCAUUUCCCUGAUGCCUACAGCCCGCAGUCUGCCUGAGACCAAGCACCAUGCCUUCAAUUAAGUUGCAGAGUUCCGAUGGAGAGAUAUUUGAGGUUGAUGUUGAAAUUGCCAAACAGUCUGUAACUAUCAAGACCAGGUUGGAAGAUUUGGGAAUGGAUGAUGGAGAUGAUGACCCAGUUCCUCUACCAAAUGUUAAUGCAGCAAUAUUAAAAAAGGUCAUUCAGUGGUGCACCCACCGCAAGGAUGACCCCCCCUCCUUCUGAGGAUGAUGAGAACAAAGAAAAACGGACAGAUGAUAUCCCUUUGGGACCAAGAAUUCCUGAAAGUUGACCAAGGAACACUUUUUGAACUUAUUCUGGCUGCGAACUACUUAGACAUCAAAGGUUUGCUUGAUGUUACAUGCAAGACUGUUGCCAAUAUGAUCAAGGGGAAAACUGAGGAGAUCCGCAAGACCUUCAAUAUCAAAAAUGACUUUACUGAAGAAGAGGAAGCCCAGGUACGCAAAGAGAACCGGUGGUGUGAAGAGAAGUGAAACGUUAUGCCUGACACUGUAACACUGUAAGGAUUGUUCCAAAUACUAGUUGCACUGCUCUGUUUAUAAUUGUUAAUAUUAGACAAACAGUAGACAAAUGGCAGCAGCCAAUCAGUUGUUUAAGCAGAAUAUUGUCCUCCUUGCAUGUGUAGUUUGAGUACGGAUUCCAAACUUAUGGCUGAGUUUCUUCUAGUAUGAUCAAAAGUUUCUUUUUUCUUUGCUCUAAAUAAACCUGAACUGUGGGUUCUCUGUAGAAGGUGGCAUUUAGGGCUUUCCGAAACUCUCUUUGUAAAGCGAUUUCUGCCUAGUUUCUUGUCUAGUUAACUUUAGUUUAAUGACCUUUUAAAAGUUGGCAUUGUAAAUAAAACAAGUUGAAAAAAAAUUUCUGAAAUAGAAUUAACAACAUAUUCUCUUUAUUCAUGAGUUGGAAACUGGAAAAAGGCUACCUGAGGUAAAUGUUUCAAGUGGGGUUAUUAGGAUGUCUUCCAGCUUCCUGGAGUCAAGGAGUACCACUGGUAUUGAUUAGCCUGUAUGUAGCAGGGCUCCCUUAAUUGGAUGUAAGGACUUGUUAUUGCAUUUUUAAUCCUCAGCUUUGAAUAUGUUGGCUAGAGACUCAGUUACUACUCAGUUUGUGGUUUUGGGGGGAAUAUAACUAGCCAGUCUGUUAGCUUUUAGAUUUAAAAAGACAAAUAACCCAUGUGGUUAUGUCAUCUUCUUAUAAUUAUUGAUCCCAUGUGGGGGAAACUUCACACUACUUGCAUGUAAAAAAUAAUUUAACCUUUAACGUUAAAAUGUCUGGCAAAACCUAGAAAACAUCCAUCAUGAAUGCAAGAUACUUUCAGUGAAAAGUUACGUAGUAGGUGGUAAAUGGUUUGCU